GCAAGUCGAACGCGAACGGUAUCUUCGGAUACCUAGUAGAGUGGCGCACGGGUGAGUAACGCGUAAAUAAUCUACCCUGAUGUCUGGGAUAACCAGCCGAAAGGCUGACUAAUACCGGCUAUAUGCUACCCUGUUGGGGGUAUCAGGAAAGGUGGCCUCUUCUUGAAAGCUAUCGCAUUGGGAUGAGUUUGCGUACCAUUAGCUAGUUGGUGGGGUAAAAGCCUACCAAGGCUGCGAUGGUUAGCUGGUCUGAGAGGAUGAUC
rnacentral:rRNA from 1 species